CGAUGAAUCAGUGUUGUUCAGAUCAUGAACUCGUGGUGUUCAGUCGCAGAUAUGGAAAAGACAGGUGUGGCUUCAUGAUUUCCCUUGUGAUGAAAUAAUUGAGAAGACGGGAGGGUGAAGGGAUGACAGGAACUGUCGGAAUGACUGAGGUAAGUGUCUGUCUGUCUGUCUGUCUGUCUGUCUGUCUGUCUACCCAUCUAUCCAUCUAGUUCUAUUAGCUUUAACGAAGUCUUUCCAUUUUCAUUUUAUGUGACUGAUGAACAAUUGUUACGAAGUUCACUUUUAGGCACACUUGGGCAGCUCAUCCCCCAGAGACGUCUUUCUCCCACAAUGCCCUGACCCUGAGAUCUAUGCGUGGAAUUCUCUGCUCAUUUAUCAGUGUGGGCCUGCUCCUCUCCCUGUGUGCUCUAAUUUUUUCACAGUCCCGAUCCUGGUACUGUUGCACCCCAAACUACAUCUGUGUAACUGUCAGACUCACACACAACUGAGUAAACCUACAGCUGUGGAAAAAUACUAAAAUAAGUUAUGCGUUUUUCUCUCCAAAUUUAAAAAAAUAAACACUUAACAUAACUAUUAAAGUUAAAAUAAGCUGUACUUUUUUUACUUUUAAGUAUUAAGUACUCAAGUAUUUUCAGCCUGAUAUGUUUUUCAGCACU